GUACUUUCAGUCGUGAGGAAGGCGGCGUCGUUAAUAGCGGCGUUGUUUGACGUUAGCGACAGAAGAAGCACCGGCUAACUCCGUGCCAGCAGCCGCGGUAAUACGGAGGGUGCGAGCGUUAAUCGGAAUUACUGGGACGUAAAAGCGCAUGCAGGUGGUUUGUUAAGUCAGAUGUGAAAAGCCCGGGCUCAACCUCGGAAAUUGCAUUUGAAAACUGGCAGACUAGAGUACUGUAGAGGGGGUAGAAUUUCAGGUGUAGCGGUGAAAAUGCGUAGAGAUCUGAAGGAAUACCGGUGGCGAAGGCGGCCCCCUGGACAGAUACUGACACUCAGAUGCGAAAGCGUGGGGAGCAAACAGGAUUAGAUACCCUGGUAG
rnacentral:rRNA from 1 species